GCCCGGUUGGCUCAGUCGGUAGAGCGUGUGACUCUUAGAGUGCCUAAGCACUUAAGACAUCUCAAGGUCGCGAGUUCGAGCCUCGCAUUGGGCU